rnacentral:lncRNA from 1 species
CCUGUAUCGCUUCGUGUGUUGGCAGCUGGGGAACCUCGUCCUCCUGAGAGAAGAAUCAAGCCUUUCAGGUGUGAUUGGAUCCAGCUUCCUCAAGUGCAUCACCGCAGUGACAGGACACACAGAGGCGCCUGCUCCCACACCACCCCCGAGGAAUGCGCGGAGCGUCGUGUGCGGGAAACGGUCAGGAGUCUUGCUCACGUGUUCCUGAAGCUGAGUGCCACACGCGGGGCUGCUUGCUCUGAGAGUCGGUGAGGGGGAGAGGAGGGGGAGAGGAAGGGGAGAGGGCCACAACGCCCAGGUCCCCAGACCUGAGCCACAGUGCUGAGGACAUUGGAUCCCACGCCGUGCUGCCCUGUGCUGCUGGAGAUGCGGGGCACGAGACUCGAU